UACGAACUGUGCAAACGUUAUUCGGAAUCACUGGGCUUACAGGGUGCGUAGGCGGCUUGUUAAGUAGGGUGUGAAAGCCCCCGGCUCAACCGGGGAAUUGCGCCCUAAACUGGCGAGCUGGAGUGAGAUAGGGGUGUGUGGAACUUCCGGUGGAGCGGUGAAAUGUGUUGAUAUCGGAAGGAACGCCGGUGGCGAAAGCGACACACUGGAUCUUGUCUGACGCUGAGGCACGAAAGCCAGGGGAGCGAACAGG
rnacentral:rRNA from 1 species